AGUGAACGCUGGCGGUAGGCCUAACACAUGCAAGUCGAACGGCAGCACAGUAAGAGCUUGCUCUUACGGGUGGCGAGUGGCGGACGGGUGAGGAAUACAUCGGACUCUACUUUUUCGUGGGGGAUAACGUAGGGAAACUUACGCUAAUACCGCAUACGACCUACGGGUGAAAGCAGGGGAUCUUCGGACCUUGCGCGGAUGAAUGAGCCGAUGUCGGAGUAGCUAGUUGGCGGGGUAAAGGCCCACCAAGGCGACGAUCCGUAGCUGGUCUGAGAGGAUGAUCAGCCACACUGGAACUGAGACACGGUCCAUACUCCUACGGGAGGCAGCAGUGGGGAAUAUUGGACAAUGGGCGCAAGCCUGAUCCAGCCAGACCGCGUGGGUGAAGAAGGCCUUCGGGUUGUAAAGCCCUUUUGUUGGGAAAGAAAAGCAGCAGGUUAAUACCCCGCUGUUCUGACGGUACCCAAUGAAUAAGCACCGGCUAACUUCGUG
rnacentral:rRNA from 1 species